UACGUAGGGGGCAAGCGUUGUCCGGAAUUAUUGGGCGUAAAGCGCGCGCAGGCGGCCGCUUAAGUCUGGUGUUUAAGCCCGGGGCUCAACCCCGGUUCGCACUGGAAACUGGGCGGCUUGAGUGCAGGAGAGGAAAGCGGAAUUCCACGUGUAGCGGUGAAAUGCGUAGAGAUGUGGAGGAACACCAGUGGCGAAGGCGGCUUUCUGGCCUGUAACUGACGCUGAGGCGCGAAAGCGUGGGGAGCAAACAGG
rnacentral:rRNA from 1 species